AACGAUUCAUACAAUUUAGUACUCCAUUUAGCCUGAAUGUUCAACUUACAUUAGCAAAGAUGCCGGUCGCACAACAGCCAUGAAUGGAACUAUGGAGGACCUACUCAUACUGCAUAAAAUAACAUCAUCUUGUCAGUGUUGCCUGCCUGAAUGCUCAUCAUCAUCCCUCCACCAUCAACAAGGACAGGACAUCAAUACAUACUCCAUGAUGGGAUACAGUAGAGUAUAGCUUUAACUGUGAAAAAGUAAGAAAUAGAUGGUCACUACGCAAGCACAUUUACUUGAUAGUGCAAAUUAAAGCUAUGCUUGUGGGUCUAAAACAGUGAUAAUGUGAAACUACUGUAGUCUAUUAUAACUGAGUCCUGACUGGCUGACAGUGGGGUGUGGAGAAGCUGCCAUUUAUACUUUACACAGGUUAAACAGUGACCACUGUCUCAUCAAAUUUUCACUUGGUUUUCUCUGCGCAACAGAUUUCAUGUAACUGAUAUUUUCAUGAAUAAUUUGAUCAAAUACACCUUUAUGCACUUUAAAAAACUGAAAGUUAUAAAAAAGUUUUAUAAGUCACUUGGCAGCAUAUUGUGUGAAUUCAUAUGAUUUAAGUUUCAUCCAGACAUCUGUAUUACUUUUGGAUCUAUAGUGUUUUGUUAUGAUUUAAUGUUCCUCUGACUGACUUGAAAGCAACUAUCAUUACACACAAUUUAGCAUUCCUCAUCUUCAGAUGUACAAGAAAAUACUUUGUACUUCUACAUAAGUUACAUAAACCUAUGGUUAUACCAAUUUUCAGCUAAUUAAAAAAUAGGUUGCCACACAGACUUUUGGCAAAAUAAGUUGAUGUGUUACAUAGCAUUUGUUUUGAAAAGGGAAUAUUUAAUUUUUCUGUAUUCUACUGCAUAUGAUGCUGCUAAGCUUUAGCACAUUUCAUAAUCCCUACAUGCUAGAAGCCUAUGUUAAAUAACAAACAUAAUUUGCAUUAA